rnacentral:rRNA from 1 species
ACGGGUGAGUAAUGUCUGGGAAACUGCCUGAUGGAGGGGGAUAACUACUGGAAACGGUAGCUAAUACCGCAUAACGUCGCAAGACCAAAGAGGGGGACCUUCGGGCCUCUUGCCAUCGGAUGUGCCCAGAUGGGAUUAGCUAGUAGGUGGGGUAACGGCUCACCUAGGCGACGAUCCCUAGCUGGUCUGAGAGGAUGACCAGCCACACUGGAACUGAGACACGGUCCAGACUCCUACGGGAGGCAGCAGUGGGGAAUAUUGCACAAUGGGCGCAAGCCUGAUGCAGCCAUGCCGCGUGUAUGAAGAAGGCCUUCGGGUUGUAAACCCCCCCUGCUCGGGGAAGGAAGGGACUAAAGUUAAUACCUUUGCUCAUUGACGUUACCCGCAAAGAAGCACCGGCUAACUCCGUGCCAGCAGCCGCGGUAAUACGGAGGGUGCAAGCGUUAAUCGGAAUUACUGGGCGUAAAGCGCACGCAGGCGGUUUGUUAAGUCAGAUGUGAAAUCCCCGGGCUCAAACUGGGAACUGCAUCUGAUACUGGCAAGCUUGAGUCUCGUAGAGGGGGGUAGAAUUCCAGGUGUAGCGGUGAAAUGCGUAGAGAUCUGUAGGAAUACCGGUGGCGAAAGCGGCCACCUGGACGAAGACUGACGCUCACGUGCGAAAGCGUGGGGAGCAAACAGGAUUAGAUACCCUGUAGUCCACGCCGUAAACCAUGUCGACUUGGAGGUGUGCCCUUGACGCGUGGCUUCAGGAGCUAACGCGUUAAAGUCUACCUGCCUGGGGAGUACGGCAUCAAUGUUUAAAACUCAGAUGAAUUUGAUC